GUGUUAUCAGAGAGCAGCAGAACAACAAGCAGACAGCUGUGAGUAGGCGGAGCCAAGAUACCUGGACAGUAGCUUCAUCUGGUCUGUUCCUGUUUGGCUGUGACUCCAUCCUGGAGAGAAAUAUCAGCUGUGCUGCUGCCAUCAACACCUUCAAUCACACGCUGGGACAGAAUUGUUGGCAGCCAGCGUUCCCUCUACUGUCCCGUGUGUCUCUGCCCCCUGAGCUCGCUGAGGACCCCUAUGAGCAGCAUCAUCUGUUCGCUCUGAGGUCACUCACCAACCUUACACCUGUUAGAAACACGGGAAGAUCGCAGGUUACAUGGAUUAGGAAAAUAAUCUGUUUACAGCUGCAGGUUCCACCAGUAUGAUUUGAAUAGAAUUGAUUUGGUCCAUUUUAAAUAAAAUCAUGUUCCUGAAAUGCAGUGUGUUAUCUGUCAGAGUCUGAUGUUACACCUUUCAGACGGAACCUUUGUUCACAUUAAAACAUUAACGUUACGCAAUGAAA